rnacentral:rRNA from 1 species
CAAUAGCGUAUAUUAACGUUGUUGCAGUUAAAAAGCUCGUAGUUGGAUUUCUGGAGGGAGCGUCGGCCCGUAUUUACGAGUGCGUGACGUCUCUGUCCAUCCUUGCGGGAAGGCACGGCAUUGAUUUGUUGUGUCGGAUCGCAUCAUUUACUGUGAAAAAAUUAGAGUGUUCAAAGCAGGCUUUCGCUUGAAUACAUUAGCAUGGAAUAAUAAGAUAGGACUUUGGUGCUAUUUUGUUGGUUGAGCCUAAAGUAAUGAUUAAUAGGGAAAGUUGGGGGCACCUGUAUUGCGUUGUCAGAGGUGAAAUUCUUGGAUUUACGCAAGACAAACAGCUGCGAAAGCGUCUGCCAAGGAUGUUUUCAUUAA